rnacentral:rRNA from 1 species
UACGUAGGGUGCGAGCGUUAAUCGGAAUUACUGGGCGUAAAGCGUGCGUAGACGGUUAUGUAAGUCAGAUGUGAAAGCCCCGGGCUUAACCUGGGAACUGCAUUUGUGACUGCAUGGCUGGAGUGCGGCAGAGGGGGAUGGAAUUCCGCGUGUAGCAGUGAAAUGCGUAGAUAUGCGGAGGAACACCGAUGGCGAAGGCAAUCCCCUGGGCCUGCACUGACGCUCAUGCACGAAAGCGUGGGGAGCAAACAGG